UCAAGCUACAAAGAGCACAAGGGGAAUGCCUUGGCACCGAGAGCCGAAGAAGGACGUGACUAACUGCGAUAAGCUACGGGGAGCUGUAAGUGAGCGUUAUAUCCGUAGAUUUCCGAAUGGAGCAAUCCGAUUAGAGGAAAGUCUAAUCAUCAUAUACUGAAUACAUAGGUAUAUGAGGGGAACCGCCUGAACUGAAACAUCUAAGUAGGGCGAGGAAGAGAAAUCAACUGAGAUUCCGUAAGUAGUGGCGAGCGAACGCGGAAGAGGCCAAACCUAAUGUAGUAAUAUGUUAGGGGUUCGGACAGUAAAAUGAAUUGUCGAGAUUUAGCCGAAUGUCAUGGGAAGGGCAAUCAAAGAAGGUGAAAAUCCUGUAGGCGAAAAGUUAAGACAUCAGACUGUAUCCAGAGUACCGCCGGACACGUGAAACCCGGUGGGAAUAUGGGGGGACCAUCCUCCAAGCCUAAAUACUACUCGGUGACCGAUAGAGAAGAAGUACUGUGAAGGAAAGGUGAAAAGCACCCCGGAAGGGGAGUGAAAGAGAACCUGAAACCUUGUGUUUACAAGCACCGAAAGUUCAUCAACGAACGAUCGGGUACCUUUUGUAGAAUGGUCCGGCGAGUGAAUGUAACUGGCAAGGUUAAGCACUUAAGGUGUGAAGCCGUAGCGAGAGCGAGUCUGAAAAGGGCGCAUGAAGUCAGUUGUAUUCGACCCGAAACCGGGUGACCUACCCAUGUCCAGGCUGAAGUGCAGGUAAAACUUCAUGGAGGGCCGAACCGACUCCCGUUGAAAUGGUAGCGGAUGAGGUGUGGGUAGCGGAGAAAUUCCAAUCGAACCCGGAGAUAGCUGGUUCUCUCCGAAAUAGCUUUAGGGCUAGCCUUGGAACAGAUUACUGGAGGUAAAGCACUGAAUUGGCUAGGGGCCGAGAGGUUACUGAACCUUAUCAAACUAAGAAUGCCAGAUAAUCGUUUUCCAGGAGUCAGACAGUGGGAGAUAAGUUUCAUUGUCAAAAGGGAAACAGCCCAGACCUACAGCUAAGGUCCCAAAGUAUAGUUAAGUGGAAAAGGAUGUGGAAUUGCAUAGACAACCAGGAUGUUGGCUUAGAAGCAGCCACUCAUUAAAAGAGUGCGUAAUAGCUCACUGGUCGAGUGAUUCUGCGCCGAAAAUUUAACGGGGCUAAACUAUACACCGAAGCUUAGGAUACCGCAAGGUAUGGUAGGAGAGCGUUCUGUACGGAGUGAAGUCGUAGCGAAAGCGGCGGUGGACUGUACAGAAGUGAGAAUGCCGGAAUAAGUAGCGAGAAUUAAGUGAGAAUCUUAAUGGCCGAAAGUCUAAGGUUUUUGGAGGAAGGUUCGUCCGCUCCAAGUAAGUCGGGAGCUAAGGUCAGGCCGAAAGGCGUAGCCGAUGCACAAACGGUUGAUAUUCCGUUACCGUCUACAAUUUAAACAAAGGGACACAUACAAAGCGUUUAACCCGGGCGAUGGUUGACCCGGGCGCAAGGGACUGAAAUAAGAGUAGGGAAGUAAAUGUGGCGUAUGGCGAGAAAAGCUUUGUGAAUAGAAGUAGACGCCCGUACCGCAAACCGACACAGGUGGACAGGAAGAGAAUUCUAAGGCCAGCGGGAGAAGGGUAGUUAAGGAACUCGGCAAAUUGACUCCGUAACUUCGGAAUAAGGAGUGCUCGAAAGAGCCGCAGAGAAUAGGCCCAGGCGACUGUUUAGCAAAAACACAGGUCUCUGCCAAAUCGAAAGAUGAAGUAUAGGGGCUGACACCUGCCCGGUGCCGGAAGGUUAAGAGGAGGAGUGCAAGCUCCGAAUUGAAGCCCCGGUAAACGGCGGCCGUAACUAUAACGGUCCUAAGGUAGCGAAAUUCCUUGUCGGGUAAGUUCCG
rnacentral:rRNA from 1 species